rnacentral:lncRNA from 1 species
CUAGAUUUGGGGUCACUGUAAUGAGCAAGGUGGUAAAUAUUUAGUUUGUCCAGCAAGAAUAUAAUUUUUGUAUUUCCUGAUCAUCUGUUCUGGUUUUCUGCAGACAGCUAUUACUUGUGUGAGUGUGAGGCGGAGAGAGACCGUCCGCAGCGCACGUAUGUGCACCCGACAUGCCCGGAAUACAAGACAGAGCGUGACUGAAGGACCAGAGGGGAGAUCACUCCCGUAUCCAGGGGCAACACAGCAGCAGCUGCUCUUCCUCCACAACUUCUCUCUAUUCAGCGUGACAGCGGCUGCAUUUAUCUGCUCCGAUGUGACGUCGUCUGCUGCUGAAAUCACGGCUCUUCCUUUGGCUUAACUCUUCAAGACAUAUUUAUCGUAAGGUGCCGCGACAAGGAAAAUACAGCCCGAGUGACUCAGGAGGACUGACGGACGAGGAAAGAACAGAAUUAAAUACAGACCUGGAAAGGUUUGAGAAAAUUGUUUUAUUCCAUAAAAAAACAGGGAAGGUCAAAAAGUUGAUAAGAGAGGUCAAAGGUCAGGGGGCAGAAGGAAGCCUCAAGUGAAAGAUGGCAAAUGUGGAUUCAUCAGGAAGUCUUUUUCAGUUUACAGUCACUUUUUUGGUAGAGGGAGUUUAUUAUCAGCUAGUUAUCGGGAAAAAUCAAGCGCCCACUAGUGGCCACGGCUGUAAGGACAAUCUGGAGCUUUUAAUAAUCACCUGCAAAACUCCCUCCUGCAGAAAACAUCUCUGGACCUAAAUAUGUUGCAAUUAGAAGGAUUGAGGAGGGGUCUGUGUGCCCACAAUGCAUCAAUGUCAUCAAUAAGAGCAGGACUGCCCCUGCCAUUAAGAUGUCUGCCUCUUUGCUUGGAAAAUUUAUUGAUGAGAGCAGUAAAAUGUAAAGAAACACACGGGUUUUCAUUGACAACAAGUAAUCAAUGAUUCUGCUUUAACGAACAGAGGUUUUAUCUGGCGGCUCUUCGCUGAGCAGGACUGUGGGAGGCCAACAGGGAGGCCUGAUGCAGGGCUGUUUGAUCUCUUAGCUUGUGAAAAGUGAAUCAGGGAUGAGAGAUUUUCACAUGCUGAUGUAUCAGUGAGAAAAAAAACUCUCUUAACAUGGUGACAUCACACAGAAACCCUCUUUACGCCUUCCUUUUAUCCACAAUCUCUCCAGAGUCCCAUUCUGCCACCAGGCUGUGUAAUUUCUGAGCUGCCCCGUGUGUGACGGCGUGUG